rnacentral:rRNA from 1 species
GACGAACGCUGGCGGCGUGCUUAACACAUGCAAGUCGAGCGAGGCCCCUCCUUCGGGAGGGUGUCCUAGCGGCGAACGGGUGAGUAACACGUGGGCAACCUGCCCUCAGCUCUGGGAUAACUCCGGGAAACCGGGGCUAAUACCGGAUACGACCUCCACGGGCAUCUGCGGAGGUGGAAAGUUUUUCGGCUGAGGAUGGGCCCGCGGCCUAUCAGCUAGUUGGUGGGGUAGUGGCCCACCAAGGCGACGACGGGUAGCCGGCCUGAGAGGGCGACCGGCCACACUGGGACUGAGACACGGCCCAGACUCCUACGGGAGGCAGCAGUGGGGAAUAGUGCGCAAUGGGCGAAAGCCUGACGCAGCGACGCCGCGUGAGGGACGAAGGCCUUCGGGUUGUAAACCUCUUUCAGCAGGGACGAAGCGAAAGUGACGGUACCUGCAGAAGAAGCACCGGCCAACUACGUG